GACGAACGCUGGCGGCGUGCUUAACACAUGCAAGUCGAACGGUGAAGCGAGUGCUUGCACUCGUGGAUCAGUGGCGAACGGGUGAGUAACACGUGAGUAACCUGCCCAUCACUCUGGGAUAAGCACUGGAAACGGUGUCUAAUACUGGAUACGACCAACCCUUGCAUGGGGUGUUGGUGGAAAGAUUUAUCGGUUAUGGAUGGACUCGCGGCCUAUCAGCUUGUUGGCGGGGUAAUGGCCCACCAAGGCGACGACGGGUAGCCGGCCUGAGAGGGUGACCGGCCACACUGGGACUGAGAAACGGCCCAGACUCCUACGGGAGGCAGCAGUGGGGAAUAUUGCACAAUGGGCGAAAGCCUGAUGCAGCGACGCCGCGUGAGGGAUGACGGCCUUCGGGUUGUAAACCUCUUGCAGCAGGGAAGAAGCGAAAGUGACGGUACCUGCAGAAGAAGCACCGGCUAACUACGUG
rnacentral:rRNA from 1 species